rnacentral:rRNA from 1 species
GAUGAACGCUGGCGGCGUGCUUAACACAUGCAAGUCGAACGAUGAAGCCCAGCUUGCUGGGUGGAUUAGUGGCGAACGGGUGAGUAACACGUGAGUAACCUGCCCUUGACUCUGGGAUAAGCGCUGGAAACGGCGUCUAAUACCUGAUACGAGCUUCCACCGCAUGGUGAGUUCCUGGAAAGAAUUUCGGUCAAGGAUGGACUCGAGGCCAAUCAGGUAGUUGGCGAGGUAACGGCUCACCAAGCCGACGACGGGUAGCCGGCCUGGGAGGGUGACAGGCCCCACUCUGCCAGGGGAACGGCCAGGAGUGCUACGUGCGGCAGGGGUGGAGACCAUUGGACGAAAGGCGCAGGGAGUAAGCAGGAUCGUCGGGUGGGGAACGAAGGUUUUUGGGUAGUAAAAAUCUUUUAGGAGGGAAGACGCGACAGUGCCGGUACCAGCAGGAAAAGCACGGGCUAAUUACGU